rnacentral:rRNA from 2 species
CUUUAUUGGAGAGUUUGAUCCUGGCUCAGGAUGAACGCUGGCGGCGUGCCUAAUACAUGCAAGUCGAGCGAACGGAUUAAGAGCUUGCUCUUAUGAAGUUAGCGGCGGAC